AUUGAACGCUGGCGGCAGGCCUAACACAUGCAAGUCGAACGAGUGGCGGACGGGUGAGUAAUGUCUGGGAAACUGCCCGAUGGAGGGGGAUAACUACUGGAAACGGUAGCUAAUACCGCAUACCAUCGGAUGUGCCCCGAUGGGAUUAGCUAGUAGGUGAGGUCACGGCUCACCUAGGCGACGAUCCCUAGCUGGUCUGAGAGGAUGACCAGCCACACUGGAACUGAGACACGGUCCAGACUCCUAAGGGAGGCAGAAGUGGGGAAUAUUGCACAAUGGGCGCAAGCCAGAUGCAGCAGUGACACGUGUAUGAAGAAGGCCGUCGGGUUGUAAAGUACUUUCAGCAGGGAGGCGUUACCCGCAGAAGAAGCCCCGGCUAACUCCGUGCCAACAGCCGCGGAAAAUC
rnacentral:rRNA from 1 species